rnacentral:pre_miRNA from 1 species
UUAUGAUGAUGAUGACAGUGAUGAGGACGGGGAGGGAUGUCAAGAGGUAGAACAACAACAACCCCUUUCCCUUCCCCCUAAUCAUGGAUUGUUGUUGUUCUCCUCUUGACAUCCCUCCCCGUCGUCAUAACUGUCAUCAUCA